AUAAGAACUUUGUCUUGGAAUUUACCGUGAUAAAUUGUUAGACAUCUUUAUAGAGAUCUUUUAGAUUUGUUUUUUUUAUCAAGAACAUAUUUCUUCUACAAGACGUUAAGGUACAUUUUCUGUGUAGCAUUAGUUAAUUUUUUAAACCACACCAAAUGAAAACCUUUUUGCACAUUUUUAAGAUUUUUUUGUCUCCCAUCUAAUAUCCUGUUUUUCUAUUUCUCAUUUCAGGUAAGCCAUAAUGGUGCCAUUCAGGGGGAUAAGUAGCUAUAUAACCAAGAGGUGCAGAUAGAGGUGACUUUAGAAGAUUAAUUGGCUGUAACUGAGGACAAGCAGAUGACUCAUAGUGAAAAGACUAUCAUUAUUCAAUUGGAUCCCAUCGAAAUCGGUGAUCAUCAAUAGUGUAAAUUGUGGCUAAAAGAUGGAUGAAUUCCCUGAUGCGUUUCCUCCUUUAGUAAAAAGCAAUUUAUGAUGCCGCCACACGAUAUAUUCUCUGCAGCAAAGUGAAGCAUGAUGGAAUCCGCACACAUUGCUUGGUGUUGCAGCCACCACUGGCAUGGGCGAAGAGGGAAGCCGUCGAUAUGAUGAACUGAUUACUCUGCGAACUUUUUACCAUUCACACACAUUGCAGCAUCCAAAGGGAUUAUACGUGUUUUUCAAUCGGGCUGGUUGGUACGUUAUACAACAUAGUUGCAACAGCAGCCGUGAAAGCCUUCCGUUCUUACUCACAAGUCCCGAAGAGAAUCCGACGAAAAUAUCCGCCACCACAUUUGCGCACACACAACACACCGCACUUAAUAAUUGCCGUAAAUAUGGCAUGCGUCCGGCGCGCAACUUCUUUUACAAGAUUGGCGACUGAGCCAAUGGUACGAUGUGGAUGUGUUAUACUCAGACCCGCCCUCUCCGUCUUCGUAACACCAGAAGUUCUUAUAACUUAUUUGCUCUUCUUAUUAUUAUCCAUACACAUUCUUGUUUAUGACUUUUUAUGUUUAAAACAUGUAUGUCUCUUCAGGCCCACACCACAUGCAAAAAUUUCUCAUUUUUCUUCGAAAUACUGAUGCCUUAUUGGGACUAUUUUGCAACUCUUUAUACGCUUCAAUAGAUUUCCACUCCAUCUUUACUCUAAUAUCU